AGGACGAACGCUGGUGGCGUGCUUAACACAUGCAAGUCGAGCGGAAAGGCCCUUCGGGGUACUCGAGCGGCGAACGGGUGAGUAACACGUGAGCAACCUGCCCUUAGCUCUGGGAUAGCUCCGGGAAACCGGAAUUAAUACCGGAUACGACCUAGGCCGACAUCGGCCAUGGUGGAAAGUUUUUCGGCUAGGGAUGGACUCGCGGCCUAUCAGCUAGUUGGUGGGGUAAAGGCCUACCAAGGCGACGACGGGUAGCCGGCCUGAGAGGGCGACCGGCCACACUGGGACUGAGACACGGCCCAGACUCCUACGGGAGGCAGCAGUGGGGAAUCUUGCGCAAUGGGCGAAAGCCUGACGCAGCGACGCCGCGUGGGGGAUGAAGGCCUUCGGGUUGUAAACCCUUUCAGCAGGGACGAAGCGAAAGUGACGGUACCUGCAGAAGAAGCGCCGGCUAACUACGCGCCAGCAGCCGC
rnacentral:rRNA from 1 species